ACGUAGGGGGCAAGCGUUAUCCGGAAUUAUUGGGCGUAAAGAGUGCGUAGGUGGUUUUUUAAGCGUGAGGUGAAAGGCAAUAGCUUAACUAUUGUAAGCCUUGCGAACUGGAAGACUUGAGUGCAGGAGAGGAAAGUGGAAUUCCUAGUGUAGCGGUUUAAUGCGUAGAUAUUAGCAGUGACACCAGAAGCGAUGGCGACCAACCAGACUGUAACAGCCCCUUAGGCACGAAACUGUCGGGAGCAAGGAG
rnacentral:rRNA from 1 species